rnacentral:rRNA from 1 species
GAUGAACGCUGGCUACAGGCUUAACACAUGCAAGUCGAGGGGAAACGACGGGGAAGCUUGCUUCCCCGGGCGUCGACCGGCGCACGGGUGAGUAACGCGUAUCCAACCUGCCUCUGACUGAGGGAUAACCCGUCGAAAGUCGGCCUAAUACCUCAUGGCAUCGUCUGCUGGCAUCCAACGACGAUUAAAUAUUUCAUCGGUCAGAGAUGGGGAUGCGUCUGAUUAGGUUGUUGGCGGGGUAACGGCCGACCAAGGCGACGAUCAGUAGGGGUUCUGAGGGGAAGGUACACCACAAUGGAACUGAGACACAGACCAAAAUGCUACGGGAGGAAGGAGUGAGGAAUAGUAGUGAAGGGGAGAGAGCCUGAACCAGCCAAGUAGGGUGAAGGAUGACGGCGCUAUGGGUUGUAAACUGCUUUUAUGAGAGGAUAAAGUGAGGGAAGUGUCCUUGAUUGAAGGUACCGAAUGAAUAAGGACCGGCUAAUUACGUG